UACGUAGGGGGCAAGCGUUUGUCCGGAAUCAUUGGGCGUAAAGAGCGUGUAGGCGGCUCGGUAAGUCCGCUCUGAAAGCCCGGGGCUCAACCCCGGGAGGCGGGCGGAUACUGUCGGGCUAGAGUCCGGAAGAGGCGAGUGGAAUUCCUGGUGUAGCGGUGAAAUGCGCAGAUAUCAGGAGGAACACCAAUGGCGAAGGCAGCUCGCUGGGACGGUACUGACGCUGAGACGCGAAAGCGUGGGGAGCAAACAGG
rnacentral:rRNA from 1 species